GCCGGGCGUGGUGGCGUGCACCUGUAAUCCUAGCUACUUGGGAGGCUGAGGUGGGGGAAUUGCUUGAACCAGGAAGGUGGAGGUUGCAGUGAGCUGAGAUUGAGCCACUGCACUCCAGCCUGGGUGACAGAGCGAGACUCCGUCUCAA
ensembl:misc_RNA Metazoa_SRP Metazoan signal recognition particle RNA